rnacentral:Y_RNA from 1 species
UGCUGGUCUGAAGGUUGUGAGUUAUCUCAAUUAAUUGUUCACAGCCAGUUACAGAUUAGAACCCCUUGUUCUACUCUCUCCUGCUCCCUAUUGCACUUGACUGGUCUUCA